rnacentral:rRNA from 1 species
UACGAAGGGUGCAAGCGUUACUCGGAAUUACUGGGCGUAAAGCGUGCGUAGGUGGUUUGUUAAGUCUGUUGUGAAAGCCCCGGGCUCAACCUGGGAAUGGCAAUGGAUACUGGCAAGCUAGAGUGCGGUAGAGGGUAGUGGAAUUCCCGGUGUAGCGGUGAAAUGCGUAGAGAUCAUGAGGAAGACCAGUGGCGAAGGCGGGUCUCUGGACAGUUCCUGACACUGAGACACGAAGGCCAGGGGAGCAAACGGG